ACGAACGCUGGCGGCGUGCUUAACACAUGCAAGUCGCACGGAAAGGCCCUGCUUUUGUGGGGUGCUCGAGUGGCGAACGGGUGAGUAACACGUGAGUAACCUGCCCUUGACUUUGGGAUAACUUCAGGAAACUGGGGCUAAUACCGGAUAGGAGCUCCUGCUGCAUGGUGGGGGUUGGAAAGUUUCGGCGGUUGGGGAUGGACUCGCGGCUUAUCAGCUUGUUGGUGGGGUAGUGGCUUACCAAGGCUUUGACGGGUAGCCGGCCUGAGAGGGUGACCAGCCACAUUGGGACUGAAAUACGGCCCAGACUCCUACGGGAGGCAGCAGUGGGGAAUAUUGCACAAUGGGCGGAAGCCUGAUGCAGCAACGCCGCGUGCGGGAUGACGGCCUUCGGGUUGUAAACCGCUUUCGCCUGUGACGAAGCGUGAGUGACGGUAAUGGGUAAAGAAGCACCGGCUAACUACGUG
rnacentral:rRNA from 1 species